CUAAAAUGAAUCUACAUAAACAAAUUUUAAAGUAUCAUUAUAAUACGAAAGAAGCCUUUACCAAUAGCUCAAUUCUUCGAUACGAUCAAGAAUCAGGUGAUUUUCUCUGAUCUUGGACUUGUCAAAAUUGCUGAUUUUCUUUGGUCAAAUUCCUUCCUACUCGUUUCCUUUAAUCCAUCUUUGUGGGGUGAGAAGUUACGGGAAUUGUUGCGCUGGUUUCUCCAAGAGCAGAGGAAAAGAAGUGCGUUUGAGCAAUGUGGUAAGACAAAAGCCAAGAUGGACGAGUUAUCAAAUAUUGUUGGUUUACGCGAGCUGAAGACACAAUGAGGAAAUGGGCUAAAGGAAUGCUUUUAGAUGAGAGGCGAAGGGCUCUUGGGCUAAACAUUGGAACAGGUGAGAAGAAAAGAUUUGUAUUUAUGGUUCUCCUGGAACAGGUGAGAAGAAAACAUUGUUGGCCAUACAGGACCAAAGACCAGGAGAAAGUGUGUGUGAAUCAUAUAAUUCUUGACCAGUGACCACCAAGAAAAGCAGUAAAUUUUAGCUAAUAAUUUCAAAAAAAAAAAAA